CGGAUAAUACGUAGAAGAAAAAAAAAUCUGAAAAACUCUGUGUGGGAUUUUGGAACUCUCUCCCUCAUCUCAACUCCACCUUGAGUUGAAACAGAAGGAAAAGGAAAAAACUGAAAUUAAAUUCCUCAGAAAAUAUCUUCAAAAAUGGCGAAAUCCUUAAUAUAUUCACCGUUUCUGAGUAAUUCACUACCUUCUGUUUCUCGUCAUCAUAGUAGUAACCACCACAUAUUUCCUUUAUCCACUACAACACCUAGUCGCAAAUUCAACAGAAUCAAAUUCAGCUUACAAGAAAUUCCCCCAAUUCAUUCUGUUGAUUUUCAGGAAAUUUAUAAUAGAGCUGAAGGAUUAUUAUAUACACUUGCUGAUGCAGCUGUUGUUGCUGCUGAUUCAGCUACAACUAGUGUAGAUGCUUCUGGUUCUACUGAUGUUGCUGUUCAGAAAAGUGGUGGUUGGUUUGCUUUCAUUUCAGAUGCUAUGGAAGUUGUUCUCAAGGUCUUGAAGGAUGGACUGACAGCUGUACAUGUUCCCUACUCAUAUGGGUUUGCGAUUAUCUUGCUCACUGUACUUGUUAAGGCAGUCACUCUUCCAUUGACGAAGCAGCAGGUUGAGUCAACAUUGGCGAUGCAAAAUCUUCAGCCCAAGAUCAAAGCUAUUCAAGCAAGAUAUGCGGGCAAUCAGGAAAGAAUACAACUUGAGACAUCUCGCCUUUACAAGCAAGCUGGGGUUAAUCCACUGGCAGGGUGUUUCCCAACUUUGGCUACAAUACCGGUCUUUAUUGGGUUAUAUCAAGCUCUUUCAAAUGUUGCAAAUGAGGGAUUGCUGACUGAAGGAUUUUUUUGGAUUCCAUCUUUGGGGGGCCCUACCAGUAUUGCUGCUAGACAAAGUGGAUCUGGCAUUUCGUGGCUUUUUCCAUUUGUGGAUGGACAUCCACCAUUGGGCUGGUCCGAUACUGCAGCUUACCUGGUUUUACCCGUCCUCCUAGUCGCUUCUCAGUUUGUUUCUAUGGAGAUCAUGAAGCCUCCACAGUCGGACGAUCCCAAUAUGAAGAACACACAACUUAUUUUCAAGUUUCUUCCCCUUAUGAUUGGUUACUUCUCUUUAUCCGUUCCAUCAGGGUUGUCAAUUUACUGGUUUACGAACAACAUCCUCUCCACUGCACAACAAGUGUGGUUACGUAAGUUAGGUGGUGCAAAGCCUGCUGUAAGUGAGAAUGCAAGCGGAAUCAUUAGUGCAGGUCAAGCAAAAAGAUCGACAUCUCAACCAUCACGAGCCGGUGAAAGGUUUCGACAGCUGAAAGAAGAAGAGAAGAAAAAAGUGAACAAAGCUCUGCUAUCCGAGGACAAUCAAGUUCUGGACUCUGUGUCUGAUGCUGAUGACGUCUCUGACGAAGAGACAGACAGCAAGGAUGCUCUAGAAGAGGCAUUAGCUUCUAGUGGCAGUACACAGAUUCCCGAUUAUUCAGGUCCAAAGAAGAGCAAGCGAUCAAAGAGGAAGCGUACUGUGUGAACAAGUCAUGUAUGGUAUCUCUUCUUGUAGCUACUGGUUUGACCUUGAAAUCAACUAAUUAGACAGAAGAUGAACAUAUUAGAAGUUUUGAGUCAGAAUUUUAAUCUUAUUUCAACUCAGAUGAGUAGUAGCUGCAAAGAGUGAAAGUUAGGUAGCUUGCCUGAUUUUGUAGCUUGAGCAAGAAAGGGAGUUGUGAAGUAAUAACAUGGUGAAACUGCAAGGAGGAGGGUUGCCAGGAUAAGCUAUAUGGUUCAUGAGCUUUAUGGUCGUCAGGAUCCGGCUCCCCGUGGAAGUUAGACAAUAUUUAUGAAAGACAUUUUAAAUCAUGAAAUCCUCAUAUUUUCCUCGUCGCAAUUAUGAUCUUCCGUCUGCUCGGUGUACUAAUCGAUACUCUAUCUACAGUAUUAUGUAUAUCUAGUCUAAGCAAAAGAUGGUUCACAAAUAUCAUCUAGGCCUUGAGUUUCA